rnacentral:rRNA from 1 species
AGUGAACGCUGGCGGUAGGCCUAACACAUGCGAGUCGAACGGCAGCACAGUAAGAGCUUGCUCUUACGGGUGGCGAGUGGCGGACGGGUGAGGAAUACAUCGGAAUCUACUUUUUCGUGGGGGAUAACGUAGGGAAACUUACGCUAAUACCGCAUACGACCUACGGGUGAAAGCAGGGGAUCUUCGGACCUUUCGCGAUUGAAUGAGCCGAUGUCGGAUUAGUUAGUUGGCGGGGUAAAGGCCCACCAAGGCGACGAUCCGUAGCUGGUCUGAGAGGAUGAUCAGCCACACUGGAACUAAGACACGGUCCAGACUACUACGGGAGGUACCAGUGGGGAAUGUUGGACAAUGGGCGCAAGUCUGAUCCAGCAAUACCGCGUGUGUGAAGAAGGCCUUCGGGUUGUAAAGCCCUUUUGUUGGGAAAGAAAAGCAGCAGGUUAAUACCCCGCUGUUCUGACGGUACCCAAAGAAUAAGCACCGGCUAACUUCGUG